AGAGUUUGAUCAUGGCUCAGAGCGAACGCUGGCGGCAGGCCUAACACAUGCAAGUCGAGCGGCCGUAGCAAUACGGCAGCGGCAGACGGGAGAGUAACACGUGGGAACGCGCCCUUUGGUUCGGAAUAACUCAGGGAAACUUGAGCUAAUACCGGAUAAGCCCUUACGGGGAAAGAUUUAUCGCCAAAGGAACGGCCCGCGUCCGAUUAGCUAGUUGGUGAGGUAACGGCUCACCAAGGCGACGAUCGGCAGCUGGUCUGAGAGGAUGACCAGCCUCACUGGGACUGAGACACGGCCCAGACUCCUACGGGAGGCAGCAGUGGGGAAUAUUGGACAAUGGGCGCAAGCCUGAUCCAGCCAUGCCGCGUGAGUGAUGAAGGCCUUAGGGUUGUAAAGCUCUUUUAGCAGGGAAGAUAAUGACGGUACCUGCAGAAAAAGCCCCGGCUAACUUCGUGCCAGCCGCCGCGGUAAUACA
rnacentral:rRNA from 1 species